AGCUGAGGUCCUUCAGUUUUCAGUGAGGAGCACCCAGGGAUCUCCACUCGAAAUAAGAAAUCCAUACAAGAGAAAGCUCACAAGAACAUGAAGCAAGCUAAAAGAAAUCCAAAGCUGAGUCACCGCUUCAGGACCCUGGACAGCGACAGCCAGAUACUCCUCUGCAGAAGAGGCUCAGCUUUGCACCAGGAAGCAGUUGGGUUUAGGGGAAAUGUCUAGCAUUCACAGUGCCACUGGUGUAAGAUAAGAUGUUUGUUCACCAUGGGCUAAUCACGCAAUUAAUUUGACAUUCAUGUGUUGAGCUUUGAAAAAGGUUACCUUAAACAGAAAGUAUCAGUUCUUCACUUUUUUGUGACCAUCUUGCUGUCUAGUCUUCGAAAUAUGUAAAACUAGUGAUGACUGGCUUACAAAAACACAAAAUGACUUAGUGAUUUGGAUUAUUAACUCCCUGUGUCAAUUUGGGGGAGUUUACUGAAUGAAAAUGAGAUCUAGAAACAAGCUUAAUCAGUGUCCAAACAACCAGGCCAUAGGAUUCUCUCCAUAAAAAGACAUAUUUUAUCUAUUUUUUAUUAUGUAUGCUCAUGUUUUUAAUUGGCUUUUGGCAUGACUCUACACUUCUGUAACAUUUGUGGGUGUUUAAAUGUUCUCUGUUAUGCAUUUGUUUUAGUUGUUUUUAAAGUGUGUGCUGCAUUUCUUGACCAGGUCUCACCUGGGAGCAAGAUUUACUCUCAAAACGAAUACCUUGGUCAAAUGAUAUAA